rnacentral:rRNA from 1 species
GAUUCGUUUCUAUGCCUAGAUUUUAUACCCGAACCCUUAUUGAAUUCGAGUGUCCUCGUCUAGGUAGCCACACAUACUAGUUUUUCUGGGAACCAUGGCUC